ensembl:lncRNA
UGAGUAGAAGUUAUUGAGGACGUGUGAUCUAGUCGUCUCCAUGAGCCUCGUCAUGAGGAACUUCUCUCAGAGCUUCAAAGACCUCAAAGGCUUCUGAUGGAGGAGCAUCUUCCUCCACGCUUCUUCUGAGAGGAGAAGGUUUCUGCCUCACCCCCCUCAUCCCUCACCCCCUCACCCCCUCACCCCCUCACCCCGCUGGCUGCCAGCGAUGAGUCAGCGUGCUGUUAUGUGGAGAGAGAAAAGGUGGAGGAGGAGAGAAGGAGGAGGGGCCUCCUCUCUGAUCCACAUGUGACAUGCGUGUUCACUUUCCCCACCAUUUAUACAUGUAUGUAUUUAUGUGUUUAUACAUGAUAAUCAGAUUACUGAUUCGUAUAGUAGUCAUAAGUACUGUUUCUGACAGCAGUUAUUAUUGUUAAUCUGAAGACUCAUAAAGACUCAAUAAUACAUUAACAACUAGUGUGUAACGCUUAUGUCAUCAAAACAACAUCAGAGGCAUUCUCCAACAGAAGUAGUACUUCAGGCCAUAGUACUUCAGGUUCAUAGUACUUCAGGCUUGUAGUACUUCAGGUUCAUAGUACUUCAGGCUUGUAGUGCUUCAGGCUCGUAGUACUUCAGGCUCGUAGUGCUUCAGGCUCGUAGUACUUCAGGCUCGUAGUACUUCAGGCUCGUAGUGCUUCAGGCUCGUAGUACUUCAGGCUCGUUCCAAUAGCUACAUCGUCUGCUAGAGAUUUAAGGUGAAAAUGUGCGUUUAAAGGCGCAGUACCUGUCUGUCAGUAUUUAAGCUCCUCCCUCUGAAACAAACACGCUGUUAACGAACGAUACGUCAUUGUAACGCACUUAUUACGCGUUAACGUGGGCAGCGUCGUAAUGAACCUGCUUACUGUGGGAGAGAAGUGGAUGAGCAGCGCAACAACCGUUGCUUCUGCUUUAGACUCACAUCCGGCUCCACCUCCUCCAUCACAGCAUGGAAACACCACCUGCUCCCUGUGUGUGUUUACAGUGACCGCUCUGUGUUUAAAGAACCGUCACGCCAAGAGUUUCCACUGAGGUUUACAGCGUGUGUGUGUGUGUGCGCGUGUGUGUGUGUGUGCGUGUGUGUGUGUGUGUGCGCGUGUGUGUGUGUGUGUGUGUGUGCGGGUGGCUGACUACAACCACAACCUCUAGUUGUU